UACGUAGGGGGCAAGCGUUGUCCGGAAUUAUUGGGCGUAAAGAGCGUGUAGGCGGUCCGGUAAGUCCGUUGUGAAAGUCAGGGGCUCAACCCUUGAAUGCCGGCGGAUACUGUCGGGCUAGAGUCCGGAAGAGGCAAGUGGAAUUCCCGGUGUAGCGGUGAAAUGCGCAGAUAUCAGGAGGAACACCAAUUGCGAAGGCAGCUCGCUGGGACGUAACUGACGCUGGAGACGCGAAAGCGUGGGGAGCAAACAGG
rnacentral:rRNA from 1 species